rnacentral:rRNA from 1 species
UACGAAGGGGGCUAGCGUUGUUCGGAAUUACUGGGCGUAAAGCGUGUGUAGGCGGCCUCGUAAGUCGGAUGUGAAAGCCCCAGGCUUAACCUGGGAAGUGCACUCGAAACUGCGAGGCUUGAGUAUCGGAGAGGUUGGUGGAAUUCUCGGUGUAGAGGUGAAAUUCGUAGAUAUCGAGAGGAACACCGGUGGCGAAGGCGACACACUGGCCCGUUACUGACGCUGAGGCGCGAAAGCGUGGGGAGCAAACAGG